rnacentral:rRNA from 1 species
GAUGAACGCUGGCGGCGUGCCUAAUACAUGCAAGUCGAGCGAACAGACGAGGAGCUUGCUCCUCUGACGUUAGCGGCGGACGGGUGAGUAACACGUGGAUAACCUACCUAUAAGACUGGGAUAACUUCGGGAAACCGGAGCUAAUACCGGAUAAUAUAUUGAACCGCAUGGUUCAAUAGUGAAAGACGGUUUUGCUGUCACUUAUAGAUGGAUCCGCGCCGCAUUAGCUAGUUGGUAAGGUAACGGCUUACCAAGGCAACGAUGCGUAGCCGACCUGAGAGGGUGAUCGGCCACACUGGAGCUGAGACACGGUCCAGACGCCUACGGGAGGCAGCAGUAGGGAAUCGUCCGCAAUGGGCGAAAGCCUGACGGAGCAACGCCGCGUGAGUGAUGAAGGUCUUCGGAUCGUAAAACUCUGUUAUUAGGGAAGAACAAAUGUGUAAGUAACUAUGCACGUCUUGACGGUACCUAAUCAGAAAGCCACGGCUAACUACGUG